rnacentral:misc_RNA from 1 species
UCUCCGUUGGUGCACCAGCGGAGGGAUCAUUACCGAGUUUACAACUCCCAAACCCCUGUGAACAUACCAUUUGUUGCCUCGGCGGUGCCUGCUUCGGCAGCCCGCCAGAGGACCCAAACCCUUGAUUUUAUACAAUAUCUUCUGAGUAAAUGAUUAAAUAAAUCAAAACUUUCAACAACGGAUCUCUUGGUUCUG